UACGUAGGGGGCAAGCGUUGUCCGGAUUUAUUGGGCGUAAAGAGCGUGUAGGCGGCCUGACAGGUCUGCUGUGAAAACUCGAGGCUCAACCUCGAGAUGUCGGCGGAAACCGUCGGGCUAGAGUCCGGGAGAGGCGAGUGGAAUUCCUGGUGUAGCGGUGAAAUGCGCAGAUAUCAGGAGGAACACCAAUGGCGAAGGCAGCUCGCUGGAACGGUACUGACGCUGAGACGCGAAAGCGUGGGGAGCAAACAGG
rnacentral:rRNA from 1 species